rnacentral:lncRNA from 1 species
CCUCUCCUUUUCUUUUUCUUUUUCUUUUCUUCCUCUUCUUUUUUUCUUCUUUUUUUUCUUUUUCUUUCUUUUUCUUUUUUUCUCUCUUUUUCCUUCCCUUGGAAUUCUCUAGGAUCAUUUACUUUUGGCGCAUUUGACCAUGAUUGAUAACUUUGAACAUUCCUCUUCAAUCGAGAUUGGAUCCAAAAACUCAGAGAGAAAGAAUCUUGUCUUCAAUAGGCAAAAUCGCGAUAGGCCUA